AACGAACGCUGGCGGCAGGCCUAACACAUGCAAGUCGAGCGCACCUUCGGGUGGGCGGCGGACGGGUUAGUAACGCGUGGGAACGUGCCUCUCUCUAAGGAAUAGCCACUGGAAACGGUGAGUAAUACCUUAUACGCCCUUCGGGGAAGGAUUAUCGGAGAGAGAUCGGCCCGCCGUUAGUAUUAGAUAGUUGGUGGGGUAACGGCCUACCAAGUCUACGAUCUAUAGCUGG
rnacentral:rRNA from 1 species